rnacentral:rRNA from 1 species
UACGUAGGGGGCAAGCGUUGUCCGGAUUUAUUGGGCGUAAAGAGCGUGUAGGCGGCCAUGCAGGUCAGCUGUGAAAACUCGAGGCUCAACCUCGAGACGUCGGUUGAAACCGUAUGGCUAGAGUCCGGAAGAGGAGAGUGGAAUUCCCGGUGUAGCGGUGAAAUGCGCAGAUAUCGGAAAGAACACCCGUGGCGAAGGCGGCUCUCUGGGACGGUACUGACGCUGAGACGCGAAAGCGUGGGGAGCGAACAGG